rnacentral:rRNA from 1 species
UACAGAGGUCCCAAGCGUUGUUCGGAUUCACUGGGCGUAAAGGGUGCGUAGGCGGUCGGGUAAGUCUGAUGUGAAAUCUCACAGCUUAACUGUGAAACUGCAUUGGAUACUAUUCGGCUUGAGAGUUGGAGGGGGGACUGGAAUUCUUGGUGUAGCAGUGAAAUGCGUAGAUAUCAAGUGGAACACCAGUGGCGAAGGCGAGUCUCUGGACAUUUCCUGACGCUGAGGAGCGAAAGCGUGGGGAGCGAACAGG